UGCUAUACAUGCAGUCGAGCGAAUGGAUUAAGAGCUUGCUCUUAUGAAGUUAGCGGCGGACGGGUGAGUAACACGUGGGUAACCUGCCCAUAAGACUGGGAUAACUCCGGGAAACCGGGGCUAAUACCGGAUAACAUUUUGAACCGCAUGGUUCGAAAUUGAAAGGCGGCUUCGGCUGUCACUUAUGGAUGGACCCGCGUCGCAUUAGCUAGUUGGUGAGGUAACGGCUCACCAAGGCAACGAUGCGUAGCCGACCUGAGAGGGUGAUCGGCCACACUGGGACUGAGACACGGCCCAGACUCCUACGGGAGGCAGCAGUAGGGAAUCUUCCGCAAUGGACGAAAGUCUGACGGAGCAACGCCGCGUGAGUGAUGAAGGCUUUCGGGUCGUAAAACUCUGUUGUUAGGGAAGAACAAGUGCUAGUUGAAUAAGCUGGCACCUUGACGGUACCUAACCAGAAAGCCACGGCUAACUACGUGCCAGCAGCCGCGGUAAUACGUAGGUGGCAAGCGUUAUCCGGAAUUAUUGGGCGUAAAGCGCGCGCAGGUGGUUUCUUAAGUCUGAUGUGAAAGCCCACGGCUCAACCGUGGAGGGUCAUUGGAAACUGGGAGACUUGAGUGCAGAAGAG
rnacentral:rRNA from 1 species